UACGAAGGGGGCUAGCGUUGUUCGGAAUUACUGGGCGUAAAGCGUGCGCAGGCGGCUUCUCAAGUCAGGGGUGAAAGCCCAGAGCUCAACUCUGGAAUUGCCUUUGAGACUGAGUGGCUUGAGUACGGGAGAGGUGAGUGGAAUUCCCAGUGUAGAGGUGAAAUUCGUAGAUAUUCGGAAGAACACCAGUGGCGAAGGCAGCGAACUGGCGCUCGAUUGACGCUCAGGCACGAAAGCAUGGGGAUCAAACAGG
rnacentral:rRNA from 1 species